ACCGAGAGAGCAGCACAGGUUAACCGGGGCGAGGCGGCGGCGGCUCGGGUCGGACACAGAGGUUAAUGACGGCGGGAAAACAUCCAGAGAACUGGGUGUUUUAUUUCCCAGCAUGCAUGAGGACGGCGCCGUCUGAUCGAAGGUUAACGUACGACGGAGACAGAAGACAAACGUCUGGGGCGAUUCAUGCCGAGACGACUGGACAAAUGGACGAGGAGAGAAAACAAAGACGUGACGUUUACAGAAGUUCAGGCGUCUGCAGGUGAAGAGGAGGAAACUCUGAACUCAUCCUGAUGGAUUCAAUCAGUCCUGACCCGGAGUUCUA